rnacentral:rRNA from 1 species
GACGAACGCUGGCGGCGUGCUUAACACAUGCAAGUCGAACGGAAAGGCCCUGCUUUUGUGGGGUGCUCGAGUGGCGAACGGGUGAGUAACACGUGAGUAACCUGCCCUUGACUUUGGGAUAACUUCAGGAAACUGGGGCUAAUACCGGAUAGGAGCUCCUGCUGCAUGGUGGGGGUUGGAAAGUUUCGGCGGUUGGGGAUGGACUCGCGGCUCAUCCGCUUGUUGGGGGGGUAGUGGCUUACCAAGGCUUUGACGGGUAGCCGGCCUGGGCGGGUGACCGGCCACAUUGGGACUGCGGUACGGACCAGACUGCUACGGGGGGCAGCGGUGGGGAAUAUUGCGCAGUGGGCGGAAGCCUGAUGCAGCGGCGUCGGGUGCGGGAUGACGGCCUUCGGGUUGUAAACCGCUUUCGCCGGUGACGAAGCGUGAGUGACGGUAAUGGGUAAAGAAGCACCGGCUAACUACGUG